rnacentral:rRNA from 1 species
CUAACGAGGAUUUCCCUAGUAACGGCGAGUGAACAGGAAAAAGCCCAACGCUGAAUCCAAUAGACAAAUUUGUACUAGAUGGAAAUGUAGCGUAUAGGUGUAACUAUCCAUAUAUAUUUCUUACACCCAAAGUCCCCUUGAGCGGGGCUACAGUCCAUAGAAGGUGCUAGACCUGUACGGGUGAGGAAAAUUUAUGGUAAGUUGCACUUUGGAGUCGGGUUGUUUGAGAUUGCAGCCCAAAGAGGGUGGUAAACCUCAUCUAAGGCUAAAUAUGACCACGAGACCGAUAGCAAACAAGUACCGUGAGGGAAAGUUGCAAAGAACUUUGAAGAGAGAGUUCAAGAGGGCGUGAAACCGCUGAGAUGGAAACAGAUAGAGUUAACGAAACUUAUCAGUAUUCAGCUAAUCAAUUUAGCAAUUAUCUUACAUAAUUCAAUUUAAAUAUUAUAUCAUUUAUGAUAUGAUAGAUAAAAUGAAUAUGUGUAGGAAAAUGUAUGCUAAAUUAAAUGAUUGGUGUAUUUACUGAUAGUAUGCAUCGAGAACUUCGUUUAUAGCAUAUUGAAAAAAUUUUUUAGUGGACCAUUAAUAUUAUAUUAAUGGAAACCUAAAUAUAUUUAAAAUAUGUCUUAAAUGAAGUUUUCUUACCCAUGUAACUUACGCUUCAUAAAACAAGUGCAUCGAUUAUACUUUUACUAAUUACAUUUACAUGUGAUCGCAUGCGAUUUUAACAGUAAAUGGAAAAUAAAUUAGUAAAAUUUUUGUAUAAUAUUGUAUGCGUUUAUUUAUUAAGUUACAUCUCGAUGUGAACGUUAAUCACCUAUCUGACCCGUCUUGAAACACGGACCAAGGAGU